UACGUUCCCGGGCUUGUACACACCGCCCGUCAAGUCACGAAAGUCGGUAACACCCGAAGCCGGUGGCCCAACCCUUGUGGAGGGAGCCGUCGAAGGUGGGACUGGCGAUUGGGACU
rnacentral:rRNA from 1 species